ensembl:lncRNA
CUCCUCAUGAGUAGGGAUGCCUUGUGUGGGUAAACCUGCUGCAGAGAUCUCUUACCUUGACAUCAAGAGGUUUCUUGCCAGUGCAAGUCCUUGAUUCACAAACAUUAGAUGAGAAGAAUGCAUACGAUCUUCAAAUCUGAAUUCGUCUGUAUGUGGACCAUGGACAGGUAGGCAUAUAUUUUGAAAGAUAUUAUAUUUUAGAGCCAUUUAAACAAUAGUGAGUUUUACAUCUUCCAUGGUAGUCUGUUACAGUGUUUAAUUAUCCAGAAUAAUUUUGAACAAAAAUUGGUGUACUUGGCCUCAUUAAUGUAAGGCAAAGAAGGGCUUUUUUAAAGCAACCUCCAGACAGGAUUUGUAAACAUCAGCUUCAUUUUUAUUUGGUACAAAGCACAUUAACAGCAGCAGCAGAGAGAGAGCUAAAAUUUUACAAGUAGAGAAUUAAUCACAGCGGGUGAUGACAGGCUGGUAAAGUGUCUCAUUAGAAAAAGAAUAACAAGGAGUUUAAUGGAGAGUCAGUGUUUUGUAAGUAUAAUAGCCUGGGUUUUCAAAAGGGAUUGGUGAUUUGGGAAUGCCUCUAGUUUUGAUACCAAUUCAAAUCAGUCAGAUUUCUGAAGGCAUUAAGAACAUUUUUCUGCAGCUGCGUUAAAGUUUUUGGAGGGUGAGCAUGCCAAAGACAGACUGUCAUUUCAGUCUGAGACGCAGUCCUUGACUAAAACGUUCCUAGUUUCAUUGUGCUUUAGGAUGGACCAGCAUGCUUUUAAGAGGCAGAUUUGCAGCUGAUAUAAAAUAUUGCGGACCCAGCCAACAUAGAACAGUGGCAGAUUACAGUGACUGACAUACUGUCCCUGUUGUGAACUUCUUGCAGUAAAAAACACUGUAUCAUUCUAAGUGAGAGCUUCUACUAUGUGGAAACUUAAACCUCCUCCCCAUUCUGCAACAAUAGCACUUACACAAGGCAGCGUUGUGGAAAGUCUUUGUUCUAAACAUGCAGUCUGCUUGCAACAACGUCACUAGUGCAAGUUCUGUUCUAGAAAAGGGCAUAAAAAAUACAGCUGGCAGAAGAAGGAGACAUAACCGUAAAAGACAAGAACAAGCUGUAACUUAGAGAGGCAACUUGGAAACUGGGAGACACGAGGAAGAAAUUCCUACAUUCUUUUAGCUGUUCUGAGGAUGAGCAGGGCUCAUGCAUGCUGGGUAGUUUACUCUUGUUAAGUAUAGCUAAUCUUUUCAAACAGAUUAUCUGUAAAAAAUGUAUAUAUGUAUUUCUCUUUAAUCUUCUGUGAUACAGAUAAAAAUAUUAUUUUGAUUGGCCUUUAGUCCAUGAGUAUUUUUUCCUCAACUACUAAGUAUAUCAUUUAUAUAGGUAUGUAACACAAUAUACUGCAGUAGACAUUGUAUGAUGUUUUAUUUAUAUUUUACUGUUGAUAUGUGACAGAAUGAUGUUUCUGCUGCUUCCAGUUUCACUCAUUAGAGUGAGCUGGACAGUGGGCAUAGCUUCGUGUAAGAUCAUCAGGCUAAAGCGUAAGGGGAAUUUAAGCAAUGCCUAAUUCUUAGAGGCCCUCACCUGGUGUAAACUGUAGCUACACGUUAGGAGACUAAAUAAUACAGGAAGAAGCAUGCCCCAAAACCAGUUAAUGAAAUCCAGUCUGUUAGUGCAAGACAACUGAUUUUUUCUUUGAUAUUCCCUCCCCUGCUAAGUCUAUCAAAGUCAAGAAAGAAUUUUGAUGCCACCCCCUAUCUCCUGAAGUCAGAGUGAAAAAAUUUCAGUGUUCAUUGUAUAUCCAAAUUAUUUCUAGAUGUUCAAUUCAUAAUAAAUCUACUUAGAGUGCUUUGUUCUGAUGAACUCAUUUAAAUGUAUUAUAUUAAAAAAUUGCAUUUUCAGAGGCUUCUCUAGACAAUUCUUAAUCGGUUGUCAUGGUGAUGUCACUGAUUACAGUUUUUAAUGUCCCAUUUGAAGAUUAUGCACUACUUAAUGAUCCAAAAAGUAGGUCUAAUUUCUUUUCUUUUUUUUUUUUUCAAAUCUUUCAUGGAAUGAAUUAAGAGGUUAUAGUCAUAGUAUAAUAGUUAUACUAGUCAUAGUAAAAAAUAAUGACGAAUGCAAAUCAUACAAUGUAAAGGAUGAUUUCCUUAAGAUGUUUUACAUGAAGUACAUAAUCAGCAAACAUAGCAAUAGAAUAAAAAAGUUGUAAUCACUAAAGUGGUUAUGGGUAAAGAACACCUGAAACGUCCUUGUGCAAGGAUUGUCUUCAUCUCUCUUUAAAAUUACAAAAUGGUAAUGGUCUGCAGAGCAUGUGAAAUUAUUUUAUAUUUAAAAAGAAUUUGUUGUGACAUAUUUCUCAGUUCCUGGCUGGACUGUCACUUCGAUUUAGGUAGCUUUGUAAGCUGCAGCAGAGAUCUAACUGGAAAUUCAGUUUCAGCUUCACCUGAGCGUGCUCCACAUUUUGGGGAAGAAAAGUUCUUGUUACCUUCCCAUCUUUAAAGGGUAAAAUGUCAUGUGUGGCUCCUCUAAAAAGUUUAAAAGCAUUCCUUUCAUCAACAAUAUUUUAAAUUUCAAGAGAUGUUUUUGUACACUUUUGUAACCUUUAUAGGUGUUGCAGACUGUACGUUUCCUACAUGCACAUUCUUCUUGUCUAUCCAGAUAGUCUGAACAAAACAUAAAAACCUCCUAUUACAUUACAAAUCACUGUGUUCUCCAAUAAGAACAACAUAACUUUUAUUUAAAAAUCAAUUUUCAUUAAGGUCCAUUUCCCAAAAAUUCAUUGGGAAAUUUACAUGGAAUACUUGUGAAGUCAAGAGAAUUUUAAAUGACAUAGGAUGCACUUACAUCAGUAUUUAGAUUUGGAGAAAAGAAGGUGACUUUAAAGCUCAUUUCCUGGAUGUUUUUAAUUGUUCUGCUUGGAUUCACACCAUGUGUAAUUCCAGAGCACGUGAGCUUGAUUCCAUUUUGUUUAACCUCAAGCCGCAGACCUUUUUGAAACGCAAUGAAUGCUCAUCCACAGAACCUGCCUAAAGAUAGUCCAGGAUAAACCUUCCGAAACAUGUGUGCUGUGAAUGUCAAGUCCUCAGUAGCAGCUGCUUUUGUCACCCCAUCUUCUACUGUGCCUUAAUGUAAAUAUAGCAAUAGAGUUUCAGACUGUUGUCGGCAUUGUACACGCGUACCUUUGGAGAUUGCUUAUCAGGGCGGUAGUAUUUAGCCUGCUGAGCUCAGUACUCCAGAGCUGUUCGCCUCCUCGUAUCGUACUUUCUCUUCUGCUUCCAUUCUGUCUUGCAUUCAUCAAAUUCUGCAGCCCUUAUGCUGGUUUGUAGCACACUGAAGUCAAGGAAUUAGAUGAGUGGACUAUUUGUUUAUUAGCAAAGGAAUUAUAAAAGUAGGGAAUGGAAUGAGAGUGGGAAGGAAUAAAGAAAAACAAAGGAAAAAAAGGAAAUGGUAGUGAAAAGAAACACAGUGAAUAUUUUUCAUUGUUGCAGAUUAAAAUGAGAGAAAAAGGAAACUAGUGCAUUUAUUAUAUGCUCUGUUUUGGAAAGUUUUUGCUAUAUUUGAAAGAGACCUAUCUCAUUCUGGCUGUAACUGGUCUUCAGAGGAGAUUCUUUUGGUCUUGCUUACAAAAUGGUUUCCAUUACCAUAAAACUGAGUCAGUCUUUAACGUUUCUAUUCUCAGAAGGUACAGAGGUUAUAUUAGCCCCAUUGAACAAAUGAAGAACUCAAUACACAGAAGGAAAGAAAAAAAAACACCUUGAUUCCUAGAGGCUCAGUGCCUUUUCAGAGGUCAAACUCAGGAAAUUGAAGCAUGAGCUUUCCUCAUUAGAGUAUAGUACUCUGUGAUAGCUCUUAAUAUUCUUCCAUCUUGUACAGUUCUCCAUGUUAUGUGAGAGGAACAGAAUGAUUAUCAUUUCUUAAUGAGCUUAUAGUUUCUCCUGUAAAAAGCAAAAAAUAAAAAUAAAAAAUAAAAAAAUAAAAACAUUGUUAGGGCUUUCACAAACACUUCUACCUCAUCAGUGUGAUGUCCUUCCUAUCUGCCUCAGGCUGUCAGGUCCUUAAGGAGAGGUCCUUAAGGACAUCACAAUGAUCUCUUCAUUUUUUCAGGCCUAGUGGUGAAGUCCUUACUAGUCCUUACUAACUCCACGACUUCAUACUUACUUGCUAUUCUUGAGCGCACACGGUGUGCAUGCAGUCAUUGCUGUGUCCACAGGAUAUACCUCAGGCUAGUUAACUUAAGAUAUGUUGGAGAGAAAAUUGUUAACAGGGAAUACAGGGCAAUUUCAUUUCAUCUUUUUCUCCUUUUGAGAGAAUGGUCUUUGCAACUUGUACAAAUUUUUCCUCUAUUAUCUUUUUUUUUUCUUUCUUUUUUUUUUUUUUUCAGUUAUUGCAUUUAAAUUCACAGCUUGAUCAAAAAGUUUCUUUUUACAAAAAGAUGUUUGCAUGUCAGGCCUAAUCUUUCUUGUUACAAAGUUAUUAUUCACGGGCACUUUAGCUGGUUGAAACUUACCUCUUUCAUCAUACUUACGUAUGAAAAAUUGUGGUUUCACCUCAUCAGAGGUCUGUGACUUGCAUGAUUGGUAGCAUAUGUUUUGUAUAUAGUGCUCAAAGUUAACCAAGUCUCCAAAUAGAUAACUGGCCUGGUAACUUCCAGAAGUUUUAUUUUGUUUAUCCUUGAUGGGUGCAAGCACUAUGUAAAAUAAAUAAAGAAUAACACCACAAAGGUCUUCUGAGAGAGAUUAAAGGGUGCAGCAAAGAAAAACCCAUGAAAGUUGCAUAAGCUGUGCAUUAUGCAUAUGCCAUAACAGCAAGAACAUUAAAUAUCUGGUGCUCUAUUGCAGCCACAAAUACUGUGUUUGGCAUGUAACAAAGUCAGUACAGUCUGAUGACUGUAGGAAGAGUUUUUACUCAGCAAGAUGUUUAAAGAUAAAAACCCUCCAGAGCUAAACCUAAUUGUCCUUUGAGGUAUGUGUUAAGGUCAGAGCUGUUCUUGAUGGUGCUUAUAGUUACCUUCCCAUGAAAUCUUUGCUAUCGUACUAAAAAGCAGUUUAAAACCUCCUGUGUUUCUACUGUUUUUACUGCAGACAGAAAUGUUUCCUCUUUCUUUAUAGAACAUCACACUAAUUCAAAAGAUAAUAACCACCUUUUGGUGGUUAUUGCUGCAACUGAACAAAUAUUAGUAAAAAUAGGCUUCACAAAAAUGAUUAAAAGGAAAUAGAAAUAAUAAAAAUAAAAAGAUUAUUCUGAUCAGGAGACCAACCUACUUAGAAAGUAGAUAGUAGUUCAGGAAUGAAACAGCUCUUUUUUUGCAGAAGGCACCCAUACUUCAUUCAUCUCCUCAGAAUGUCCCUCCCUCACUCAUUAUAGUGAGAAGAGCUGCCACAUACCUUUGUUUUUGCAAAAACUUUGCAUAUUUUUGUAGUACAGGAUCUGCCUGAGCAACAGUGCUUUUUAGUAAAAUAAAUGUAACACAGGAAAAUAUUUCUCGCUGCCCAGUCUGCCUGGCUUUCAGUUUUCUAGAUAUGUCAAUUUUAUUUAGAAAGAAAACAAGAAAAAGAUGAAAAACAAACCCCAAAAUUCCUAUUCCUCAUUCUUCUUUGUUGAAUGCUGCUUGGCCUGGUAGGAUGAGACUUCCAGGCUCUAAUAUGUAAUCCACCUUUCUGUAUGACCUCAAUUCUGUUACAUUGCUUUCAGCUUCAAGUCUGCUUAAAUUCAGCUGUUAUUUCUGCCCUUUACAUGUUCUUAGUUUUGUUCUCCAAAGACAGGAUGCUAUGGCACACUGACUUUGUGGGUUCUGUCAAUGUGCAAUACCUUUCUGGUAGUCAGCACUUGGUGGUGGAGAACCAGGGUUCAUCCCCUCAACACUUAGUGCUCCUACCAUGCCUGGUCUAGAAACCCUUCCUGCCUCUUCUCAUUCCAAGAAUUAGUUUGCUGUCUCCUUUAGCACAGCAUCAGGUCACCUAGGUUUUCUCAGGAUGAUUGCUUCUAUUUUUUGCCCUGUGUUCCUCUAAUAAUUUAUUAGAAGCAUUCUAUUGAAAGUAUUUAUAUUUGUUAGCUUUAGGAGGGUGUUUCAAACUGAGUAGAUUUUUGCAUACGCUUCAUCAUCAUACCAUUAUUAGAUAUAGUUAAAGAAUAAAUAUAUGUAAGUUCAUAGAUGACCAAAUUUUAAGUCCACUAAUUUCUUUAGCAUACUUUGACUUAAUGCUUUUUCUUAUUUCAGAUAAUCUAUUCUAUCUAUAUUUGCACCUUAUUUGAGAAAUUCCUUUGUUCAAACUGAGCUCUCUGUGAGCCAUUCUCCAAUUCUUCAUUUUCCUGGCCAAACUUAAAGAUAAACAUUCCUUCUGUACGUUCAUUCCAGGUUGUAUAUGUGCACUCUAGGAAAUCCAUAAAAAUACUCUGUUUUAGCUUCACUUCUUUCAGUAGUUUGUGGCUUUUUUUUUUGUUUGUUUGUUUUUGAGGAAAAGCAUAUCAUAUAAGAGCAAGAUAAAUGCUGGAGGGAAAAAAAAUAUAUAUAUAAAGUUAUUGCAGUGCAGAGCAGCACUGAUAUUUAAAUACUUUCUUUGCUCAUGACAACAGAUUGUGUGUUUUAUAUUUAUUGUUGUUUACCUACUAUAUCUGCAAUCUUCAUUUGUUCAAAAUAAUGGUACAUUUAUGGUCAUACAAUAGCUUGUUUAGGCCAAAUGUAGGUCAUUACAUUUCUGUGAAGUACUCAUCACUUUGUGGCUUUAUAUACUAACCUCUCAUAUUACAACAUUUCAUACUCAUUUAUGCAUUUUUUCUCUCUCUCUUUUUAUUCUUUCAUCCAACCACUGGAAAUUUAAUUCACCAUUGUAGAUUGAGUGGCAUCCAUUCACUCUAAUGGUCAAGUGAUUAGCGCUUCAGGAUGGCACACAGAUCUUGAAACAAAUAUAUCUAUUUGUCAUUGAAUAUUCAGAGAUCGUCAUGAUCUUACUUAAUUACACUUCAGCAAUAAAAUACAUGACAGAAAGUUGAUUUUUCCCUCUAAACUUGAGACUCUUUCCAUACUGGCAUUCAAUUUGAUUAAUGUUUACGUUAACUGCAAUUUAUUGGUCACUUGCUCAGCAUAAGCUUUCCAAAGAAAGAUUAUAAAUGCUAAUAUGUUACUAUUUACAUCCCCAUAAAACAUCCACAGAUUACAAAUUGGAAAAUACAGGACUAAUUAACACUGAUCAGCAGAUGUGUAUGCUGAUGUGAUAUAUUGGGAAAAUCUGAUUUUCAGCUUCAUUUAGUCAGAAUCAACAUGUUGAUCAUUAUUAUGAGUGACUGAGCAGACAUUAAAACAUACUGGUAAAACCCUAUUUAUACAUUCAGUCUUAUUUUCCUAUAGGUCUAAGUAGGUAGAAGUAGAAUUAAGUUUCAGAUAUAUCCAUUUUGCAUUGAAUUUGCAAAUCAAAUCAAAUUCCAUUUACCUAACUGUGUAAGUAAAGAUACUUGGACUCUUUCUUACGUUAGUAUGGCAAAUCAGUCCAUGGAGGAUACUGACAAGGCUUGUUCAUGCAGACCUACAAAUACUUUCAGUAUAGAAGAAAACUGAAAUUGUCCUUUUUUAUAUACUGUUCUUAGAUAAUUUUAGUGUGAUUAGGAUAGGAGAUAAGAGAUAUCACAACAUAACUAAAUCAAGAAGGAAAAACUUUAAGACAAUUGAUAUGUUCUGAGAUCAUUACAGGUGUAGUACAAUAGAAAAGGAAGAGCUUCCAGUUCUGGUGAACAAAAUGUAUCAAAGGAAAAAAACUCUUUAUUCUUGUUCUGAACUAGAACUUUUAGACACAAGUGCACCAUAUGCUAGUGGGCAGCAAGACUAAGGCAGAUGUGAAGGUUUGUGAGAGAAACACACAGCAAUGAGAAAUUAGAAUGAAGAAACCGGCUGGUCAUACUCACAGCCCAUAAUCAGCAAGGAACAUAUCAUUCCUCGUAGGAAUUGCUGGAAAAUGGAUUGCAUGAAAUGUUCAGCAAUUACUCCUUUUUUACAUCUGCACAAAUCUUUAAUUGUUGUAAUGUCAAAAAUAAUUUGUAUAGAUUUUAAAUCUAGGAAAUAUUUUCACUUUGCUUUAGCAAGUCAGCCCAAUAAAUGCAAUUUCUGAGUAACACCCUUAAAGUCUUAACUGGACUAUUUUUGCAUCAGUUUGAGAUUAAAUUUUAAAUUGGUGGCAACUUCUUUCAUGAUGUAACAGAUGAAGUUUUCGCCUACUAAAAGGUACCCCAGAAAACGUGUGCCUGUUUUGUCAGAUGCAGUUUUGCCAGUGCAUGCGCACUCACAUACAAGUGCCUACUUUUUCUGUCAACAUGAGUGAUAUGGUUUAUAUAUAUAUAUUUAUGCAUAUACGUAAAUACAUACAUGUAUAUAUUUAUUAGUACUAACACAUCUCAAUUUGACAUUUUUGGCUUUUCAAUUGUGUUAACACAGUGAGUCCUAUUGUUGGCACUUUUAAGGUCUCACAUUCCUACCAGUCUGUACCUCCCAUACGUACCAGUCCAGCCUUCAAUCUCCCCACCUUCCUUGAAGUUUCCUUUUCACAAGCUAUAAAAGUCUUUCAGAAAGGAGAAAAAUGUCAUUUUUUCUCAUCUGUUGUGAGCAAGGUUCAGGUCAUCCAUGCAGUCUGGUCCUCUACCGUAAUUGCUUCCUUUUAACAGGUUGGGAAUGCUCUACCAGAAUAUAAAAGCAAAAGAAGGAGAUUCAUGAACUUGAAGAGCUUUUUUUUUUUUUUUUUUUUUUUUUUUUUUCUGCCUGGCCCUAUCUCCAAGCAUUUCAAAUUUUAUUAACCUCUUCUAUUAUCCAAUUUAUUAUUCCUGUACAUUGUACCUUGGUUGGACCAUCAGGUAAUGGUUCUGCUAUCAGAAACAAAGCAAGACUGACAUAGAAAAAGAGAGAUCUGUCUUUCAUUCCUGGUCAGGAGAACAAAAUAAGGCAAGCUGAUGUGUGUCUGACUGCAUUCCCCUGAUUUUGACAAAUGCUUCAGCCAUAAAAGAGCUUUUAGCUUCAAAACAAUUUCUAUACAGUAUUUCUAUACAGGAAUAGUAUUUCCUCCAAUCUAACCUUCUCACAGAGAAAAUUUCUACAGGAUUUUCAGUAAAAAUGAGUUUACAUUCUUCUCUUGAUCUGAAGUAUGGAAAUUAUGCUCUCACCACAAGUAUUUGUCUGGAAACAGGUAUAGUAUCAUCCACGGACUUGUUUUCUGAGUUCAUCCAAAAGGAAAUAAUUAUUCUGGAAGAAUAUGCAGUACAGAUAUUAAUCAGUUAUUUAUUUGUCAAAUGGGAAUACAUAAAAGAAAACACACCCUUUACAUUUCUACAUUUAAUGAAUAUAUUAUGGAAACAACUGCAUUUUCUUACAGAAGGGAAAAUCUUACUCCGGUAUUUAUCAGUGCUUUUUAUUUAUUCAACCAUGUAGAUGUAACUCCCUCUUCCCCUUCUGUUGUACUUGACCAACAACCAAACCAGAGACUCAAAAACAAAAGAAAUCUUCAUCCCUUUGUGUUACAGAGUGUACAGGGAGUCACAAUGCAUUCUUCUAAGGAAAUGCUACUGAAGACAUAAAUUCAUUUCCCUAGCAGUCAGACCAGCAUAAAGCUUCAUCUAUUCUCUGCCUAGUUCUGUGCAUUUUGAAGUGCUUAGCUAAAGCUGGCCACUGCUAAUAGUGAUCCUUCUCAGUUUUCUUUUAUGCCAGAAGUUCCAUACAGGAAUGACAGAACUGUGUAUUAGGUGUUCAGAUCCUUUUGACCAAUUUCAUUUUAUAUUAAGGCUCCUGAAUAGGGAUAAUGAGUUUUCCAAGAAACAUUUUUCAUAUAAAAAUGAAAAUGAUGGGCAUCCGACUCCACUGAACACAGAACAGCUGCCUGCAGAUCAGUGAAAAUCUGCUGCUUUCAUCAGUUAAAGAGAUGUAAUAUAUUUGUCUCUGCUCUUAAUUCACAGAAACUUCUUAGUUACUUUGUUGAGAUAGAGGCAAAUACCACGUAGAAGUACAGAAAAUUUGCCUGUGACAGAAAAAAAAAAACCAAACAAACAACAAACUCUAAGUUAUCUACAUACUUGUAAUUAAAAUAUAAGAAUCUACAAGUCAAGAAUAUGGGAGCGAGCAAAGAGAAGAGUUUUCUCACUGAGGUAUAUUGUGGAGUUUGGGGCCCUUAGAAGAGUACUUUUUCUUAACCCCAGGUCAUACAAUUAUGCACGUUCAUCAUACUGCUCAUACGGUGUUCAGAUGCCUGACUUGAAUGCUUGCCUCUGUAGUGUUAAUAGAGCAUUACAAUGAUUUCCUCUGACACAUUUGAACAUGGUUUUUUAGUUUCUAGUGCAGUAGUAUUUGGAAAAUAUUAUGUAACUGCAAACUCUGUAUGAUCUGUUUGUUACUGUUGGCCAGAAAGUCUCUCUCAAGCCUUGCAAAAGUAUCAAAUAGUGUGCAAAGUAUGGUAGAUACUCUAGAUUUCGUCUUGUCCACAAUACAUUUUUGUACUAAAAGUUGAAGAUUUUUCUAAGUCCAAACAGUGUCUCAAAUUCCUGCCAGCAUUCUACUUGAAACUGUAACUUUCUUCCAAGUCAUCUUCUUUCUAUUUUAAAAGCUGUCAUUAUUCAAAUGUUAGUGCAUUUCCAUAUCUUCUUUUUAUUUACAGUCACUGGUUGUUGAAUGCGUACAAAUAAUCAUGCAGCUACUUUCAGUUACAAUUUGUGCGUGGUAGGACACUGUAAGAUACAGAAAUAAUUGUAUAACUUAAAGAAAUUCUAACACUGUGUAUUUAUGCUUGUGUGCAUGCGCAAACAUCCACAAAUGUAAAUAUAUAUAUACAUACACACAAUCCUGUCCCAUACAGUUGUAACCAAUGAAGUCUUACAUCAGGUUCUGUAAGGUUUUUUCAGAAGAAGGAUAACCAUUUGCAUUUCCAAUACCGUAUCAAUCUGGAAGUGGUAACAAUAUAAGGAAGUAAGUGAAAGGUCAUGUGUUAGGAAGAGAGAGAAGGAACAUCAAUUAUUUGCAUCAAAUACAGUCUAUCAGUCAUGUCAGCUAUGAAAAAUUGUCUAUCAUCUAACAGUUAAAAAUUGAAGAAUGCUAACAUUUUUACAAAAAGGGUCAUCUAGAUCUUAAUUUCCAAUUAUUACUUUCAUAUAUUGAUAAUUCAAUUUAGUGCAACUUCUAAAAGCAGCAAACCUACAGCUGCCUGCUGUACUCUGUGUGGCUUCAAUACUCUUUAUAAUCUGAUGUGUAAGUUAGUGUACCUUGAGGAACAGGGAAUCUUCCAAUUUAUUAGCUGAAGUAUCUUACAUCUUUCGAUGCUUGAAAAAAUUUUAUAUUGACAUAUCCAGAGUUUUUAUUGAAGUUAUAUUAGUGCUAUCUAUCAGGGAUAUGCUAGAAAAUCUAUAACUUCCACCAAAAUGUUGCCCAUGUGAGCAAUUCAGUUUAUGAAGUACAAUCUUCUCAGGCUGACUUAGUGCCUCCUGGUUCAUUUUUCAAGCUAUGUGAUGUCUAAUGAAUUUGUCAAAAUAAAAACUAAUACACAGUUUCACGUCUAUCAUCAAAUUAUGCUUUCCAAUAUAGGGCUAAAAGUAUGAAAAAAGACACCUAUAUGAAAGUCUGCAAAUGGAAAACAUCUCAGGUCUGUGCUAUUGUAUUUCCUGUUUUGACACUUCUUUGCAGUCUCAGAGCUGUUUUACUUUGGUUGCAAUUACACUGGGAGUUUGUCCAGAUAAGGUAAUGACACUGUUUCAUUAUGUGAAGCAUGUAGAUAUUUGUCUGUGGUGCACCAUCAAGCCAGUCAAUAUAUUUGAGAAAACAUAAAUAAAAGGAGAGGUUGAGAGGUCUUUAUGACCUUCUUUAAAGCAAUCUCAGAUCCCAUUUUCUAAACCACUAAACAGAGAUUUUCAAACUCAUUUGUUUUGCCUUACAUAUUAAGUCAGAACCUUACAUCAAGUAUCAGGCUGACAUUUUUAAAUAACAGCAUAAUGUUUGCCCUGUUUAUAUACGCAGCAUUGUUUUCCUCGGGUCUUAAGUUUCUUUGAAUAAAGCUAAGAACAGUAAACCUUUAGGAAUACUAAAAGGGAAAAUGAUUUCUCUGUGCCCUAUUCAGCAGGCAUCAGUAAUAUAUGCUGUCCUGGCUAGCAAUUUUCAUAAUCAUAGGCAGUUGUCAGUCAUCAUAAAUCAGUCUCUACUGUGACCUCUGUGGGACUAAGCAGGUCACUGCAGAGUUCUUCACAUGUUUUAUUUUUCUCUUUUGAUGGAGUGAAAUAAUGACCCACUGGCAAGAGGAGAAUUAUAACACCUGUAACUUCAAUCAGAUACCAUGUAUGCACUCCCAGGUAUAGUCAGGGCUUUGGGACUACAAAGCUGUGCUUUCACUGCAGCUGAUCGAGAGCUGGCAAUUCUCUGGCCUUUCCACAUGCAAGUGUGAUGUUCAGGAACUCUAAGCUGAUAAAACAUAUUAAAAACCCACUGGGGAGGUGCUGCUGAUUAUGGAAAGUAAACCUUAAGGCUCAGAGAGGCUUCUUGUAGAGAACACGUAACCAUCAAUAGACAUAUUCUCACGUUUCAUCAUGGAAAAGUAUAUGUUAAGUGUUUCUUUUGUAAGCCUGUAGUGUCAGCUGCUGAGCCGAAAUGAUGUGGUUUUGAAUUUAAUAGACUGAUGCUGAUUUAUGUCCACUGAUAUAAAUGUUACACGUGUGGAUGCUAUUAAUACCAGCCAUGGAUGGAAUAACUUUUAAGUGACUUGAAUUCAUCUGAACAAAUAGGCUACUGUCCUGUAAAAACAUGUGCUGUUAAUAGCUUACCAUGAUACUUCCUGUGUGUUACCUUAACAGGUGGGAGUGUAAGUGCAACCUUAGAUACACAUGUAAUUGUGUGGGACCAGGAAUGUAACACGGGAGCACACUGGCACCAAACAGUAAGUGCCAUCCCUAAGAAGUACACAGUGUACUGCAGAAAGCUGCCUAUUUGCUGGCUGGAUAGUGCCUGUCCCAAGCUAGUCUCUGGUUAGUCAAUAGUGCAGGCAGGCUCUGACAACUUUUCUGCUGUUUUAGCAUUUUCCCAUGCUUGUUCAGAAGGUGAUACUGUUGGGAUCUGGAUUGCAGAGCCUGCAGUGCAGUAAUAAAACAUGAUUAUAGAUUUUUGUUUUGUUUUGUUUUUCCGGCAGGGUUGAAGUAACUGUCAGAAGAAAAAUAAGUUUAAAAAGGCAGAGGACUCUGAGUGAAAUGAUGACUACAGACAAAUCUGGGAAUAAAUAACAGAGGUAGCACUGGAAGACAGUCUGUUAAGGUCUUAAGAUUACCCCAGAGGGGUUAAUUGAGUUUUUCAAAACAUUUUCCAUUGGUUUCAGAUGGUAACAUCUAACUAAUGAAUCAAGAAUGAAGAUUCCUUGAAGGAAUGUUCAUUAGCAUAAUUAUGCUCAUUAACAUAAUACGUUCAUCACUUAAUUCAGAUCUGAUUGGCUUACUUAAGAUUAAAAGCCUGGAGCUGCAAAACUGAAGAUGACCUUUUCUAUAAGCGGGCAGACUUUCCUGCUCAGAAGGUUUGUGAUCACAGGGCCCUGUAGCCCAUGUUUCCACCAGUGCUUGCAGUCUAUUUUUGUUCACCACUACAGCUUCAGUAACAAAGGUUCUCAGAUUUUCUUUUCAGUGCCAGAAUAUCUGAUAUUUGCCAGUCAAAUUCCUACGAGACAGUGUUCUGCAUAGGAGUGUAUUCUGGAAAUAGUUAAUAUAGAAACUCUGUUUAAGUUGAGUUCAUUUAUUCUUGAUAAUAACGGAACGCUAGGUUGGCAUCCUAAUGUCCUAUUUUUCUGCUUAGUUGGAACCUGUCAUGUACAUGUUAACAUUAACAGGAAAGCUGAAUAUGAAACUUGACUUCACUACCUAGAACAUAAAAAUUUCAGUAAGUUCAAAAAAGAAAAAUGCAAACAUUUGAGAGGUCAUUUUGCUUGUUCAUUUUUUUUUUCAGUAAAUUGCAUGCAACUCUCAUUAUAUCAUUUAUCUCUCAUAAUAGCUUAAUUUGGACUCCUUCCAAAUUAAAAUGGAGACAAAGUCAUUGUUUUGCUGUUUUCAAAAGAGAUGCUGAAUUUCAUAUGAGUAAGGCAAUAGAGCAAGGACUUGAAUACUAAAAAGCAUACACAAUUUCCUUCUGGUAGCUAUGCUGGCAAUUGAGUUAGUAUGUUUCCCUUGCUUGAAUGGCUAAAGAAAAUAAUGGUUUUGUCCGUUCAAAUGGCACUGUUGAAUCCAAGAGUUGAUUUCAGCGAUGGGAUUCAUACAUCAUGCUGUCUUACUCCCCAUAUGGGCUCUUCUUCUAGAAGAGUUCUUUGAUGGAUUCCUGUGUGAUAAAACACAUCACUCUGCACCUUAUAUUGCUUCCAUUGCAUUCUCUACACAGCAAGGGCAGAAUAAGUCAAUAAACUCUGCUUAUCUCCGGAACGUUCCCUUUAAAGGUAGUAUAUGAUGUUAUUACUAAAGUCAUAGUUUUCAAAGAUGGUGAGACGAUAUUUCUUUCUUUUUUUUUUUUUUUAAAAAAAAGAAGAGUCAUGAUACAGUAAUAUCUACCCAAGUAGUGUUUGUUGUCCCUACCUACAUAAGCUCACUUGUCAGCAGAUUGCAUGCUAAUUUAUUAAGGCUGGUCCAGUACAUAACUACAUGUCUGUAAGCUAGUCAUGACAAGCCAGAACAAAAACUGUAUCUGCUCCAUGACUGGCACCCAUCACUUGUGAGGUCAACUCACAGGAAGUUGUCAUAAAGCUAAGGCCGCUGUAUGGUUGCUUCGCAAAUUUCUGCUCUAAGCAAUGUCUGUUUGUAUUUGAGACCAAUAUCAGCUUUUGAUGAAGGCCCAGCUGAAGUUUUCAAAGAGUUUCAGUUAUGUAGUGUUUUGCAAGGGGCACGUCAAAGAGGCCUCAGGGUAAGCCUUCCAUGGUCAUGCUUCAAGAUGGUGUUCCCUCUUCCUGUGUAUCCUUUUUCCUUCUGGGAAGAUCACCAAGUUCACUUUCAAUUUAACAAACUGUGACUUUGAUUAUAACCAGGAAACUCCACUGAUAUUCCUGGAUGUGCAUGGGCACAAAAAUUAAAAUUUGACCAUACGCUACUAUGAAAUAAUACCAAGUAAUAAUAGAGGUUACAAUUGUAGGCAUUUUUUAGUAACAUUGCACAGUAAUAUGCAGCAUCUAAUGAAAUUUAAGUAAACAAAAUGUCAGUGUUUCUAUUGGCAAAUGUCCAGGACACAAGUACAAUCUUUUGUAUUUUAUUUGUAAUAUUCUCCUUAACAAGUGACAAGAGGAGAUCAAAGACACCUUUAAUUCUUAUCUUGAAGACAAACACAAUUUAUACUAUCGUUUUAAUAUUAACUAGUGACUACUCUCAGUUUUACUGCAAUGUAAGUAACGGUAGUAAUAAUAUCAAACGCUCUCAAGCACUUUUUGAGGCAUGGAUUUCAGUGAAGUCUGCAAAAAUACAAAAGUGCUAUUAUUUCCCAGUUUUGCAAAUAAGGAAAGUAAUGUGGUUAGGGUUAGUGAUUUGCCUAAAAGCACACAUUGAUAUAAUGCACUUCUAAGAAUAGCACUCACAAGUUUUUGGCUGUCAGCCAAGAGAUCUCCACUAAAGUACUUUGCUUCCGAUGUUAAAACCCUUCUAACACUGAUAUAGAUAAGACUGUAAAGGAAGAUCACCAUUUACUGUACUGGCACCACUAUCCUUUUCAGAACCUCAGACUUCGUUAUCAUAGGUAGCAGAGAUUUCUCUCUCAGUAUAAAUAGACCUAAGCUGUUGCUCCUUUGACAAGUGGUAUCAUGGUCCUCAAUUCUUGGAUGACUGUAUGCAGGAAUACUCUUGACAUAUUUUAGCAAACUUUCCUCUGUGUAAUUCUUAUUGUUAUGCCCACUCUUCUUGAUUAAUAGUACACACAGGGCAUUAAAAAUUAAAAGUUUAUUUCAAAGUGGAAUAGAGUUAAAUUCAGUGUGAGUGGUGAAAUGCACAGCAGUGAUUGUUGGAUAAACUUAAGAAUAGAACGCCCUGCAAGUAUUUUGCUUAUAGAGUAAGUUUGGCAUCACUGCUCUCAUCGGGGAUGUGCCAGCAUCUCUGUCUGCCCCAUCAUUUAUUCAUGGAAAUGUAGUCACUCAAUACAGAUACAAUAGUUAAAAAUAAUGGUGUAAAGUUAAUGAAAGGUAGAAAGUCACUCGUAAUUUCUUACCUUGAGUACAGAAGAGAGCAAACUUUUAACAGCUGUAUUACUAUCCCUAAAAUAGUAAAAAAUAAGAAAAUAAAUGUAUCCACUGAUUAUAUAUGCUUAAAUUAUGCUUUCAGAUGUACAAAAGCAACUUAAAAUCUUUCUCUUUCUUUUUUUUUAACCCAUCUCUGAUAGCUGUUGAGGUAGCUGUGUAGAAUCAAAAUAUGAUAAUUACUGAGUUUUGAAAGGCUCCAUUCAGUGCUGACUAGUCCAAGUUCCAAAUCUAUUGAGGCCUUUAUCAUCCCUACUUUUGAUUUUAUUGGUGUUGUGAACACUAUCAACCUAAGCCACCUGAAGGUAGUGUGAGUUUGGUGAAAGAUGAGCACCCGCAGCCUGUGCACCUUAAAGCCUGAGCUUUAGGUGUGAUCUGACUAAAAUGGGAAACUUCACUGUGAUGCAUGGGCCAUAUCAUGUACAAAUUAGGACUACAAUUCAUAGAAAAAUUCAGGCGAUUGAAUUCUGUAUCAGGAGAAAAAGGGUUGGUGGCUAGGAAUGCAUUUCAGGCAUGCUGCACAUUGGAGGUGCUUCCCUUGUGCACUCUGUCUAACCCUUGCUCUCAGUCCUUGAACAUCUACCUCUGAGCUGCAGGUCCUGAGACUCAGUUAUGCAUUUAAGAACAUUGGUAAAUGGUUGAGUUAGGGAGAUGUGGAGAGAAGAGAGUGAUAAAGUAACAUACCUACGAAAUGCUAACUACCAGAGUCUAAAAUAGUGCUUUUGAACUUGGAACACAAUGCAGCCAGGAAAUCAAAGGAUAUUAAGCUAGUCAGUAAUAUGGAGUAUUUGGAUUUACUAAAAUAGAUAAAAGAAUACCAAUGCUUUCCAGUACCUUGGCCAAUGAACAGCAUAGUAAUGUUUUUAUGAGUGUUUUUGUGUUCUGGCUGCUUCGUGGCUUCCAUCUUCAGGAAGCACAGCAUGCUAAGUGUGCAUAUGUUAUGCUUAAUUAAUUGGAGUUUCCAAAUACACACGCAGAAAUUAAUGUCUAAUUCACAAAAUUGCUAAGGCUAUAAGACACUCUCCCAUAUUGGAACAUUAUGCACCAUCAAGAAGGCCAGAAGGCUAUCUUCUGUAUUUUAGAUAUCUUUCAGAUGUAGGUGGCUGUUGCUAUUCCUGCUUUUUUUUUUUUUUUUAAUUUUGUUUUGUUUUGUUUUUUAGUUUACAUCUUCUUAUUUCACAUUGUAGGAGUCAAAGUAGAAAUCUACACAUCAAACACAGCACCUAAAGCUGACACUGGCUCUCAGAAGACAGUAACUUCCUUACUGUUCAGGGAGAAGAAAUCAAGCCUCUUUGUUCUCCUGAGACAUGUAUUUUGUUUUGAAGAUUCAUUGUAAAGGCAAAGGUAUAUGGAAGUACAGUCAUGGCAGUAUUUCUUUUCCCCAGAUAUGCCCUCAGAAGGAGGUGUGUGUUUUUUUGUUUCUUUCAGUAAGAAAUGAACCCAGAAUUGUGAAUUACAAGUUUUGCAAAGAGACUAAAACUUAAUCUAAGUUGCAAGCAAGAAAUGGGAGCCUAUGUAGAAAGUGGCUGGAAAAUAUUGAUGUAGUUUCCUUUCAAAAGUAAAUUACAAGUAGUGAUGUUGUCAUAAGGCAGCACAGUAAGUGCCUGCCUUUUACCCUUCCAUUCAGCAUUUAUCAUCGUUAAUUGCUGAAACCACAUUUUCCAAAGUCUUAGGAGACUAUUUGUAUUUUCUUAUUUGGGAUAUUUUUUCAUGGGUUUUUUUAUUCAUUUGUUUUUUUCUCAUCUCUAACCAAAUUCUUCAUUCUCUAUAACUAGUUUAGUAGCAUUUUAGGAUUCAUUUCCCUCCUCAAAGCAUUUCUGUAUGUUUCCUGCAUUGUCAUUGUGACGCAUUUUCUUAGCACUGCAUUAUUCUAAUUUGUUCAUUUGGUAUCCAGAUUGGAUACUUUUUUUUUUUUUUUAAUUGAAUCCAUGUUGUUAAACAUUACAUCUGAUGCCAAAUUGCAGUGAUGCAAUUAAUAAAAACAAAGUGUCCAAUAAUUUAUUGAAAGCAUCAUGAUGCUGAAUAGUCCAUGAAUAUUGUUUACUAGUGCAGUGGGAUCCUAUGGUGAUUCAAGGAAUUGUUACUAAUUUGAGCAUUCCUAAGUACCCACUAAAGUCAGAAGUUUACUGAAACUGUCUGAUAAUGUGAGAUCCCACCACAGUUGUCCAGGUGAUGGUGUAGAGCUUCAUUCUUUAGUUUACCCGCCAUCAUUUCUACUGGUGUGUACAGGAAGGAUUAACUGCUAAUCAUUAAUGACUAUAGAUCCCUGUUUGCAUCUGAAGUGUAGAUGACACAAUGCAGAACACACUUUUCAUUGCCUAGGGUAAAAAUUUGUUCCUCAAUUGGUGUAAAAUGGCAAGACUGAAGGUGGUUCUACCAGUUGAGGAGUUAUCCAAGAAUUUUAUCAUGCUAUGGACUCUAGGAACAUGUUGUCAAAUACAGUCUUACAAGAGCACUGUUAAUAUCACAGAAAGAGCAAAUAUCUGACAAGUACAUUCUUAUCCAGCAUAAAUGAGUAUGCUUACAUCAACUAAGUGUCUUGUCUUCAGGCUGUUGUCUGUGAUUAAUGUUGGUGGUAAACAGACAUAAUAUCAAACACUGUUUCUAUUAAUUUUCGUCCUGUUUUAUGAUACAGUAAAUGUCAUAGUUAGAGAGAAAGGGGUAGUAUUGGGUCCCACUUCUGAUUUCCCUGAAUCUAAGCACGAAGUCUCAUGAUUUUGUGCCUCAGCAGGAUGACUGGGUUCAGACCUGCAUAUACAACUUCAUGUUUGGUGACAGUCUGCUUGCCCUGUGGAUUUGGCUGUGGUUUUUUUUCUGAGAGAGAUUGAUUAACCAUGUUCUUAAAGUGAAGUAUUUUUAAUGAGCAAUUUGAAAAGAGACAAAAGAUUUCUACUGACUGUGUUACAGUUUUAUUAUCGUCUCUGGCUCUUGACUGAGCUCCUCGGCAAGCUGCACAGCCUGUUUCACUAAAUUACAGUAAGACAACAUUACAUAUUCUGUCUUCUAUUAAGUUAUCUUGCAAGCUACAGCAGAUUUAGUUUACCUUGCCAAACCUCUUUUUCUCUCCUUGUCUAUAUUUAUUAAGAAGCUGAGUUUAAGACAGCCCUGACUGACACUGCUUAGUAUUAGAGCCUAAGCAGUGUGCUGCUGAAUUGUUUUGCUACUUUCCAAGGACCAAGAUGUGAAUAUUCUUGUGCUUUUUUUGGAAUGUGUCUGUUUUCCAAGCAAGAGAGUGCACUGCCAGUGGUACUCUGUUGUUCAGGAAGUAAAAACAAGGUUAGCUUCCAUGUGCUGGGGUAACUGGUCUACUGGCCUCUCACUCCAAGAAAUCAAAAACUAUUUUUUGUCUAUCUGCACAGUCCCCUACAGGAGAUGAUUUAUUUUUUAUUUUAUUUUAAUUUAUUUUAUUUAGCUGGUAAACUUCUGCCUUAAGAACUUAAGUUGGUGAUCUACUUACACAAAGUAAUUGCAUAAAUUUCUAUUUAGUAUAUUUUCAGUUAUACCACUGUGAAGGUGCCUUAGACCAGUAGGCUGAGCAUGUUACUUAUCAGAGUAUACCAUAGCAUAAAAGCUUUUAUUGAUAAUUCUUAUGAUGUAAUUAAAUAAAUUGAACUGUUGUGUCUAGGAAAGGUCUUGCUUUGGGUCUACUGAGUCCUUUUACCCAGGCCUUGUAGCAAAGGUUUGCUGUUCUAGUGGCAGGGCACUCCCCCUCUUGGGAGGAGGGAAGCAAUAGAGCAGUUUUAUCAUGUUCCCUGUGAUUUGUGAUGACUAAAUGUGCGAAAUGCUCAUGUUCAGUAGUCCAGGCUCAGGCAGAAUUCUCUAUGAAUUGCAAUUAAUUUCACACUUUUGCAGGAGUGGGCUACCUUAAGAACCAGGUGCACAGGUUCGGAGAGAUGCAACAGCUCAUAUUUCCUACUUCCAGCACCAGUUCCCUCCCCUGUUAUCUCACUAGUUGAAUAUUCCGGGGUUUACAGCCUAUCCAACUCUUCUAAUUCCCUUAGCUGUUGUUCCACCUCUGUUCACUGCUUGGUUAGCCCCUCUUUCUUCUCCUCCUAUACCUGCUUAGUUUUUACUUAUUAUGGUACGCUGGCAUAACCUCGUAGUUAACCUUCCCCUCUGGCUAUCAUUCAUACCUCAGGACUGGUUUGUUACCAGUACAUCUCCUGAUGUUAUCUGAAAAUGCAGGUCUUCUAUUCUGCAAGCAGGAAUUUAUCUUGUAUCAGAGUUCCAUGGCACCUCUUUUGACCUCUUUGGAUUCAUAACAUCUUGUUGUUAGGCAAAAACAUUUUUUUUCCCCACAUUACACCAGAAGAGUGAAUUCACUGAGUCCCAGUCACUCAGACAUUAACCAAGGAGGAAGGCUACUCUAUUUGAAAAUCCUCCUGGUAUGAGUGCAACUUAUAAAGUAAAUGAGUGCUUUUGUCAGAAUUGCUGGUGCUACUUUCCUUAGGGAAAGAAGCUGUGUUCUUCCUCAGUGUAACCAUGUUUACCCCAGGGCACUUGCUACUGUAAAAAUACCCCUUGUUGAUACUGUGAAUGGAAAAAGCAAAUGGAUAGCUUUGUUCUAACUGUGAUCCCAGAAGUGAGAGAUCACACUUCAGGUUGAAAUGGGAAAUGACCAUUAUUGUAUGUGAUCAUCAGUGUCACAGUGGCAUAACGAAUAAUGCAUUUGGGAAUUUUUCUGUAACAAUGUGGCAGUGUAAAGAUGUACUGAAGAAUUUGUCACAUCCUCACCUAGUACUAUUUAACAUGGCCAGAAUACAUUUAUUUAAUUGUGGGUGCCUAGCAUGAGCAAGCCAAAUUUUAGGCUAGGUGAAACUUCAGUAAUUGCAGAGAGCUGAACUCUGAACUUGACUCUAUGUUUUCUCAACUUACUGAUGGCAAGUAAUAAAAUGCAAAUGCCUACCUUGUAUCUAUGAAAUAAUUAAUGAUAAAUGCUAGUAGUUAUAUAUUUCUUAAUUGGAUAAAUAUACAUUUCAGAAAGGAACUGGUCACAUUUUACAACCUAAUUAAAGAAAAUAUAAAAGGAUUAUUACAUGCAGUGGUCUAUGAUUAUUGAGAAAGAUGGAUAAAACCAAGCUUUACUGCAGGCAAUUUGAAGUAAGAAAUUCUAUAAGAGAAAAGGAAAGGAAAGCAUGCACUGAAUGAGCACUGCUCUGCAUGCUGGCAUGGCUGAUCUGCACAUGGAAGGAAAGCUUCAUGGAGUUGUUCCCAUUGUUCCAGCAGUUCUAGGACAAUACCGUAUCACACAGCAUGAAAGGAACAGCAUGUAUUAUCAAAUUCCAUUACCCAGAAGCUAUUCUUCAGAGUCUUUGGUACAGGUAAUUAUUGUGGUCCCUAAUUUGGCAGCUUGCAACAAACCUUUCUGUCAUAAUGCUUCAGCCAGACAAUGUUCUGCUGUUGUAAAACCAGCUCAGAGUUCUUUCCCUCGGUGAUGGAAGCUGCAGAGAAAAAAAGAUUCAGUUAAGAAAUCAUACUUACCUAGGAGACCUAUGCUAUGUGCUUUGCUACCCAUUUUAUUUUGCUUCUGCUAGCAAUUUCUUCUCUCUUCCAUUGUUUAUUUUGUUUUUAGUAAGAGGAAGUAUGUCUCAUAUGUAAAAAACAAAGCACAAGAAGAAGAAACAAAAUAAAAAAAGGAACCCACAAAGCAGCAGUAAAAAGAGAAAUGCUCACAAAAUGUGGAGAGGCUUUAAAGACCACUGCUCCGUACAGCAAUCUUCCUAUGCUUCAG